GGGACAUUGUUUCAGCCUGCGACUUGAGGGUUAUGAGCUGGGGAAGAGACAGUUAAAGCUUCCACGCACCAGCAAGAUGAGUUGUACCACACAGCGCCCAUGCCAAGGUCAGCAGUCUGAAUGGAGCUGAGACACUUACUGCCCGUGCCAAGCAGUGCCAAGCACCUCUGGAAGCCCCUGCCUAGGACCCCCAAAUUUAGAUUCAUGCUGCAGUCUGGAGAGUGUUUUGACGGCUGCCGGGCUACAGGGAAAAGCGCACUGCACACUGCCUCUGAGAUGAGACAGAGCUCUCCAGGCUGGGAGUCUGGGGAAGCCGGACCUGGGUAGCGCUGCUCAGGUCUAUCCCUCACAACAGCUUCAUUCAGAGGGAAUCGCCAUCUUCUUACUGGGUAUGAACCGGAGCCCUGACUGAGAAAGCUGGCAGGUGUGUGUCAACCUCAAGCAGUGGGGUCCAGAGAGAGCACUUUGCACUGAAGACCAUCUCAGCUUUCUGGCUUCUGCUUCAACUGAUGGAAAAUCUCUGCUUCUUUUUAUGGAAACGCCUUGUUGUCAUUUCUCUAUUUUGCAGCUUUGGACCAUUUUCCUAACAGAUGAGAUUUCUGGAGAUUCGCUUCUCAUUCUUUGAGGGAAAAGCGGAGCCCUGUUCAGCAUUGGUCACCAGGUUGCAGGGGCAUCACUUCCUUUAUCCAGCAUCCUGCCUCUGCACCAUGUGAAGAAACCAACCCACUUUCCAAUGGCAAACCCAAGUUCAUGCAGACCAUAUUCUCCAACGUCUGUACUUCCCCUACCAGUUGGAUCUGUGUUCUUUUGCAGUUCUGGGGACUUUUCAAGACUCUACUGACUAAAUCUGCAAAGAGUGCCGAUAAUGCAACUCUUAAGCUGGCUUUCUGAGCUAUCAUGAUGUCUUUCCCUCUCUUUGUGCCCAAGACCGUGUGCUCUCUUGCCUUUGAAGAUCCAUGAUGUUUGAAACUCAUGAGACCCAAGGCAGAAGUGUCCAGACAACUAGGAGCUAAGUCAAGCUGCUUGCAUUCGCAAGCCAGGACUUGACUGGAGGGAAUACAAUAGAGGUGCAGACACUUCUGUGCUAACCUGUGAGUGCCUUUGGACCAUGAAAAUAAUGUGUCUGUGGGAAAGACAAUGGGUGGUUGCUUGUUGAUGCCUCCUGGGGUGCUGUUUGAUGAGCUCUGAAAUACGCACUCUGCUCACACACAGGGUCACAGAAGGCACGGGGAUCUUAAGUGCACUCGUUCUAGGGUCAUCAGUGAGCUGACACUAUGUGCAGAUGAGCCCCUCUGCUUCUCCUGGAAUCAUCAUUAGAUGGCCAGGAAGGAUCUCCGUGUUGGACUCCUCCAUUCUGAUACAUCCUGUCUUCAGGGAUAGAAAAUGUUCCUGGGGGAACACGGGAGCUAAAGAAACCUCAGCUUUUCUCGAGUGUCUGGAUUAUUCUGAACUACAUGGAUUAUGUUCAAGCCCAGGAUGAGUGGCUCAAAGCGUGGCUGUGAGUGAGUGAGACGAAGAAAAAUUGGGAUCAUAUUUUAUUCAACCAAGAGAAAUGGAAUCCAGCAUAGUAGAUUUCAUGUUCUUGGGAAAUAUGUCCUGUCAAUGGUGUUAUUGAGAAGAUAGGCAGAGAACACGUUCUCCCAGACAAGGAAGAGAAGAAGAUGUGGCCUUGGCUUUGUGAGCUGUGGCAGGGAGGGACCUAGCAUGGGAGCAAAGGUCUCUGGAAGCUUCCAGACAAACAAGUGUGGGUGUCGUUUGUCAGCUCCCUGAGAGUGGGUAUCGCAGAAGACUUCCUGUGUUUUCUGUGGAUAAAUACACAAAACUAUGCAUUACUGCAACACAAGCAGGCUUUAUACAUUUCUUUGGUUUUAACAAUUGCAUUAGAAACUUUGCUCUCCCCUGAAUCCUAAGAGGUGUGUUGUUGUCGUGGUUGUUUGUUUUUGCUUUUUUUUUUUUUUUCAAAUAGAGACAAAUACAGGAGAGAAGGAAGCGCA
rnacentral:lncRNA from 1 species